rfam:Dipodomys ordii contig_46390, whole genome shotgun sequence.
GGUGGCUCAGUGGUUGAGUGUUUGCCUUGCAUGCAUGAGGCCCUGGGUUCAAUUCCUCAGCACCA